rfam:Schistosoma mansoni, Puerto Rico, WGS project CABG01000000 data, contig: 0094
GUCGCGAUGACCGAGUGGUUAAGGCGUUGGACUAGAAAACCAAUGGGGUUUCCCCGCACAGAUUCAAAUCCUGCUUGCGACG